rnacentral:lncRNA from 1 species
CUCUCCCCCACCUGCCCAACAAUUUCCUCUUAGAGAGGUGGCUGGAGCUGAAGGCAUAGUCAGGGUACAUGUGCCUUUUUCUCUAUCAGACCUUUCCCAAAUCAGCCAGCAUUUAGGCUCUUUCUCAUCAGACCCCACUAAAUAUAUACAGGAAUCCCGAUAUCUAACUCUGUCCUACAGUUUAACCUGGAGUGACUGAAAUGUCAUCCUGACUUCUACCCUCUCCCCAGAUGAACGGGAAAGAGUUUUUUCUCUAGCCCAAUCUCACGCUGAUAACCGCCGGCUUCAUGAACCUGACCUCCAGGAAGGCAGUAGAGCAGUUCCCCGAGAGGACCCCCAAUGGAACUAUCAGGCAGAUUCCCCAGCUGCUCGCCUCCGCUGUAAGACAGCCCACAACCACGUCUCCAGCAUACAAGAACUUCAGAACAUCCAAGCCACAGCUCCCAGGGGCUCCUUCAAAACAUCCUCGUGGACCUUGCUUCAAAUGCUAAAAGCCUGGCCACUGGGCCUCAGAAUGCCCGCAGCCCGGGAUUCCUCCUAAGCCGUGCCCUGUCUGUGCGGGCCCCCGCUGGAGGUCGGACUGUCCGACUCACAUCACUGCCACUCCUAAAGCCCCUGGAGCCCAAACCCUAUGUUCCUUGGCCGACUCCUUCCCAGAUCUCCUCGGCUUAGCAGCUGAAGACUGACGUAGCCCGAUCGCCUCAGAAGCCUCCUGGACCAUCACAGACGCUGAGCUUCGGGUAACUCUUAAAGUGGAGGGUAAGUCCAUCCCGUUUAAUCGAUAUGGGGGCUACCCACUCCACAUUAUCUUCUUUUCAAGGGCCUGUUUCCCUCGCCCCCAUAACUGUUGUGGGUAUUGAUGGCCAAGCUUCAAAACCCCUUAAAACUCCCCCACUCUGGUGCCAACUUGGACAACGUUCUUUUAUGCACUCUUUUUCAGUUAUCCCCACCUGCCCAGCUUCCUUAUUAGGCUGAGACAUUUUAACCAAAUUAUCUGCUUCCCUGAUUAUUCCUGUACUACAGCCACAUCUCAUUGCCC